UACGUAGGGGGCUAGCGUUAUCCGGAAUUACUGGGCGUAAAGGGUGCGUAGGUGGUUUCUUAAGUCAGAGGUGAAAGGCUACGGCUCAACCGUAGUAAGCCUUUGAAACUGGGAAACUUGAGUGCAGGAGAGGAGAGUAGAAUUCCUAGUGUAGCGGUGAAAUGCGUAGAUAUUAGGAGGAACACCAGUUGCGAAGGCGGCUCUCUGGACUGUAACUGACACUGAGGCACGAAAGCGUGGGGAGCAAACAGG
rnacentral:rRNA from 1 species